UACAGAGGGGGCAAGCGUUAUUCGGAAUUAUUGGGUUUAAAGGGUGCGUAGGCGGGCUAUUAAGUCAGUGGUGAAAGCUCCGAGCUUAACUCGGAAACUGCCAUUGAUACUGACGGUCUUGAGUACAUUUGAGGUGGGCGGAAUGUGUCAUGUAGCGGUGAAAUGCUUAGAUAUGACACAGAACACCGAUUGCGAAGGCAGCUCACUAAACUGUAACUGACGCUGAGGCACGAAAGCGUGGGGAGCAAACAGG
rnacentral:rRNA from 1 species